GAUGAAGAACGCAGCGAAAUGCGAUAAGUAGUGUGAAUUGCAGAAUUCAGUGAAUCAUCGAAUCUUUGAACGCACAUUGCGCCCGCGAGUAUUCUCGCGGGCAUGCCUGUCCGAGCGUCAUUUCAACCCUCAGGGCCCGCCUGCUUGCAGGCGCGGCGCUGGUGUUGGGGAUCGGCUACCCUGCCGUCCCCCAAAUACAGUGGCGGUCUCGCUGCAGCCUCCCCUGCGUAGUAGCAACACUCGCAUGCGGAGCGCGGCGCGGCCACGCCGUAAAACCCCCGACUUUCUGAACGUUGACCUCGGAUCAGGUAGGAAUACCCGCUGAACUUAAGCAUAUCAAUAAGCGGAGGA
rnacentral:misc_RNA from 1 species